CUCACUUCUUCAGUGGGAGCAGGAUGAAGCUCAGUAUGUUAUAUAAAGCCUGAGUUUCCCUGUCCCUCUCUUUCUACCAAUGGUAUUUGCAACAAGAGCAAAGCUGAUAAUCUAAUAGAAUUCUUUGCACGCUGGCUAUAAUGCUAGAAUUGACUGAGUAAGUACACAUACUGUAUUACUUUGCCAGAAGAGCCUAGCAGAUCCAACAGAUUUUUACUUUGUAAGACAGAUUUUGCUGUAUUCAUGCUUUUUUUUAUCUCCCCCUGAGGAGUAUUAACUCAAAGCAAUCACAAGACACCCAUUCUUGCCUGCUGCUUCCUGGGCUGCUACUUGUAUCUUCUUCAUUCCUUACUGCUUCUCUAGCCAUUUAAAUCAUAAUUUUAAACUGUUGUCUGCUCCUAAAAUGAUAACCUUGUCAUUUGGGAAAGGCUAAACACGUAAAAGCAUUUUCAUUUCGGUAGCCUUCACUUUCAUUUACUCCUUUCUUUUCAAAUCAAGCAGCACACAGAGUGCUGUAUAAAUAGCAAAGCCUGAACUACAGCCAGUUUUGAGGUAUAUGUAAAAUGCAGGAUUGAAAAAGGAAGAGACAAACUGCAAGGAAAAUGCUAAGCUGCUCCUGAGCCUGAUGGCAAUGUCUGUAUUUUGUCUUGGUUACCUGAACAAUCUCCGGGAGCUUAAAUGGAUUACAAUAAUAUUCUAACAAGACUGCAGGCAUCAUCAACAGCUCUCAUCUAGGGAAGAAGAUAAGGGAUGGAAGAAUGUAAUUAUUUCCAUGUAAGCUAAAUUCCAGUAGCUGACUGCUAUGAGAGGGAAAGCCCUGAAAACUUUGCUCUCCAUAUAAGACAAAUAGAACUUCUCAGAGCUGAUUGAAAAUGGCAUUGCUGAGCUGAAACUUAACUGGAGGAAAUAUAUCUCCUGAAGAAGAAAAUAUAAUGCACUUUAAGGAUCUGACUUGUGGUGAAAAAGUCAAGCCUAGAGAAAACUUGUCCACUUUAUUAGGACGAAUGGGUCGGACAAUCUUCUUCAGUUGCAAAGGAUAUCUGAACGCCAUGCUGAGCUUAAUCUCUGCAGCAUGCUAUGUGCUUCUCUUCUCCUCCUGAUGCACUGCAUGAUUAGCCUGAGGAGAAGGCUAAAGAAACUGGCCACCAAGAUGGUAAUCACUAGUGGAAAUGAAGAAGAUAAAGGCAAUCAAGAAAAGGAGAGCAAAGAAGAAACCAUCCUGGCAAUGCUUGGCAUUAUUGGAACAAUUCUGAAUCUCAUUGUGAUCAUUUUUGUGUACAUUUAUACAACAUUGUGAGCCAGAAGGCACAGGACAAGAACUGACAAAACGGCUGCUAAAGGUGACAACAAACAUUGUAGGCUAUUGACAUGUUGCUUAAUCAGAAUUGAUUCUGUACUGUAUUACCACAUCAUAAAAGUACUGCCUGUAGGCAGCAAAAGCUGAAGCACAAUUAAUUUAACAGGACUUCUUCACGCAGUAACAAGCUAAACUCUUCUGCUCUGCUUCUUUCCCUUUUUAUUUGGUUUUGGUCUGGGGGUGGGGGAAAAUGACUGCAAUUAUGUAAGUAGCAGCUCUGAAGCACUCCAUCUGGGAUGCAAAACACAAUAGAAAGAGACUGUACACUAUUUAGAAUUACUAAUGUAUAUCGUAUACUCUCAAAGAUAGCUACAUAGCACAGGUUUUAUGUCCAUUAGGUCAAAUAUUUUUUCCCUCUAUUUUGUUUACAUUGAAACUGACAGGCUUUUUAUUUAGAAUGAACAUAUGGUGCAAUCAUGGAAAAACAAUUCUGUUGAGCAAGAUCUGCCUAAAAACAAUAAAAUGGGGGAAAUAAGUGACAUGUUUAUUUUUUCUUUUUCAUUUGCUUGACGUAUGCUGU